rnacentral:rRNA from 1 species
UACGUAGGGGGCAAGCGUUGUCCGGAAUCAUUGGGCGUAAAGAGCGCGUAGGCGGCCCUGUAAGUCCGCUGUGAAAGUCAAGGGCUCAACCCUUGGAUGCCGGUGGAUACUGCAGGGCUAGAGUCCGGAAGAGGCGAGUGGAAUUCCUGGUGUAGCGGUGAAAUGCGCAGAUAUCAGGAGGAACACCGAUGGCGAAGGCACUUUACUGGGCUAUUACUAACACUCAGAGACGAAAGCUAGGGUAGCAAAUGGG